AGCAGCAGGCACGCAAUUACCCACUCCCGGCACGGGGAGGUAGUGACAAAAAAUAACGAUACGGGACUCAUUUGAGGCCCCGUAAUCGGAAUGAGUACACUUUAAAUCCUUUAACGAGGAUCCAUUGGAGGGCAAGUUCGGUGCCAGCAGCCGCGGUAAUUCCGACUCCAAUAGCGUAUAUUAAAGUUGUUGCGGUUAAAAAGCUCGUAGUUGGUUCUGCGUGCCACGCUGUCGGUUCACCGCCUGCCGGUGCUACUGGCAUGCCGUGGCAUGUCCUGUCGGUGGGUGUCCGGGGCCCCGUGCGGGCGGCAGGAGGCCGGGUUCGCUCGCGCUCCUCUCUGCACGUCGGCGGGUCAACUCUGGCUCCCUACUAUCCUACCUAGGUGCUCUUCACCGAGUGUCGAGGUAGGCCGACACGUUUACUUUGAACAAAUCAGAGUGCUCAAAGCAGGCUGAAUAAUUCUGCCUGAAUGAUGGCGCAUGGAAUAAUAAAACAGGACCUUGGUUCUAUUUUGUUGGUUCUUAAGAUCACAAGGUAAUGAUCAAUACGGACAGGCGGGGGCAUUCGUAUUGCGGGGUUAGAGGUGAAAUUCUUGGAUCCUCGCAAGACGACCGAGAGCGAAAGCAUUUGCCAAGUAUGUCUCGAUUGAUCAAGAACGAAAGUUAGAGGUUCGAAGGCGAUCAGAUACCGCCCUAGUUCUAACCAUAAACGAUGCCAGCCAGCGAUCCGCCGAUGUUCCUCCGAUGACUCGGCGGGGAGCUUCUCCCCGGGAAACCAAAGCUUUUGGGUUCCGGGGGAAGUAUGGUUGCAAAGCUGAAACUUAAAGGAAUUGACGGAAGGGCACCACCAGGAGUGGAGCCUGCGGCUUAAUUUGACUCAACACGGGAAACCUCACCAGGUCAGGACAUUGUCAGGAUUGACAGAUUGAUAGCUCUUUCUUGAUUCAGUGGGUAGUGGUGCAUGGCCGUUCUUAGUUGGUGGAUCGAUUUGUCUGGUUAAUUCCGAUAACGAACGAGACUCUAGCCUAUUAACUAGACGGUUCAGGAGCCUAUGUCUCCUGCGAAGUUCACUCUUCUUAAGGGGACAGGCGGCUUAUAGUCGCACGAGAUUGAGCAAUAACAGGUCUGUGAUGCCCUUAGAUGUCCUGGGCCGCACGCGCGCUACAAUGAAAGAAUCAGCGUGUGUCUCCCAGCCCGAGAGGGCCGGGUAAUCCGCUGAACCUCUUUCGUGCUUGGGAUUGUAGCUUGCAAUUGUUCUUCAUGAACGAGGAAUUCCCAGUAAGCGCGAGUCAUAAGCUCGCGUUGAUUACGUCCCUGCCCUUUGUACACACCGCCCGUCGCUACUACCGAUUGAAUGAUUUAGUGAGGUCUUCGGACCGGCGGGAAAUCCCUACCGCUUCGGCGGUAUCGACGAACGCUGGGAAGAUGACCAAACUUGAUCAUUUAGAGGAAGUAAA
rnacentral:rRNA from 1 species